rnacentral:tRNA from 1 species
CGGAGUGUAGGCUAGUCUGGUUAAGUCACCUGCUUUGGGAGCAGGGCGUCGUUGGUUCGAAUCCAACUACUCCGACCA